CACCUUUGCAUUGUUCUGACAGUGAAGUCUAGCACUGCUUGGGUAAAAGUGAAGUGCAAGUGUGCCAUGUGCCCCACAGCUGCCAGUCUCCAUUGCUCCAGCUGAGGGAUCUUCCCCUCUUCAGUGAAAAGCCCACUCCAUAGCCACCCUUACCCUACUUGAACAUUUCAUCUGCAGUCCACAGCCAUUCUGAAAACCCAACUCCCACAGG
rnacentral:lncRNA from 1 species